GUGAGGAAUAUUGGUCAAUGGGCGAGAGCCUGAACCAGCCAAGUCGCGUGAAGGAAGAAGGAUCUAUGGUUCGUAAACUUCUUUUGCAGGGGAAUAAAGUGCGGGACGUGUCCUGUUUUGUAUGUACCCUGAGAAUAAGGAUCGGCUAACUCCGUGCCAGCAGCCGCGGUAAUACGGAGGAUCCGAGCGUUAUCCGGAUUUAUUGGGUUUAAAGGGUGCGCAGGCGGGUUGAUAAGUCAGCGGUGAAAGUUUGCAGCUUAACUGUAAAAUUGCCGUUGAAACUGUCGAUCUUGAGUGCAAAUGAGGUAAGCGGAAUGUGUUGUGUAGCGGUGAAAUGCUUAGAUAUAACACAGAACACCGAUUGCGAAGGCAGCUUACUGGGAUGCAACUGACGCUCAUGCACGAAAGCGUGGGGAUCAAACAGGAUUAGAUACCCCUGUAGUCC
rnacentral:rRNA from 1 species